AUACGGAGGGUGCAAGCGUUACUCGGAAUCACUGGGCGUAAAGCGCGCGCAGGCGGGCUGAUAAGUUGGAUGUGAAAGCCUACGGCUCAACCGUAGAACUGCAUCCAAAACUGUCAGUCUAGAGUGUGGGAGAGGAAGAUGGAAUUAGUUGUGUAGGGGUAAAAUCCGUAGGGAUAACUAGGAAUACCAAAAGCGAAGGCAAUCUUCUGGAACACUACUGACGCUGAGGCGCGAAGGCGUGGGGAGCAAACAGGAUUAGAAACCCGAGUAGUCC
rnacentral:rRNA from 1 species